rnacentral:rRNA from 1 species
CCUACGGGAGGCAGCAGUGAGGAAUAUUGGUCAAUGGCCGGAAGGCUGAACCAGCCAAGUCGCGUGAGGGAAUAAGGCCCUAUGGGUCGUAAACCUCUUUUGUCAGGGAGCAAAGGCGUCCACGUGUGGACGAGAGGAGAGUACCUGCAGAAAAAGCAUCGGCUAACUCCGUGCCUGCAGCCGCGGUCAUACGGAGGAUGCGAGCGUUAUCCGGAUUUAUUGGGUUUACAGGGUGCGUAGGCGGAGUGUCAAGUCAGCGGUAAAAUUUCGGGGCUAAACCCGGUCGUGCCGUUGAUACUGGCAGGCUUGAGUGUGGGAGAGGGAAGCAGAAUGCGUGGUGUAGCGGUGAAAUGCAUAGAGAUCGGGCGGAACGCCGAUUGCGAAGGCAGCUUACCGGCGGUAAACUGACGCUGAGGCACGAAAGUGUGGGGAUCGAACAGGAUUAGAUACCCUGGUAGUC